UANAUUGAAGCCCGCUGGAUUGGGUAGUUAGUUGUUAACUANAGUUUUGUGGGAUCGACGCCCAUCUGUCUAN
rnacentral:tRNA from 1 species